UACAGAGACUGCAAGCGUUAUUCGGAUUCACUGGGCGUAAAGGGUGCGCAGGCGGCCAAGUGUGUCUGGUGUGAAAUCUCGGGGCUUAACUCCGAAAUUGCGCCGGAAACUACAUGGCUAGAGUACUGGAGAGGGUAGCGGAAUUCAUGGUGUAGCAGUGAAAUGCGUAGAUAUCAUGAGGAACACCAAUGGCGAAGGCAGCUACCUGGACAGUUACUGACGCUCAGGCACGAAAGCGUGGGGAGCAAAAGGG
rnacentral:rRNA from 1 species